CGGAUUGAUUUCUUUAUGUAUGAUAAAUCUUUGCAUAAAGGCAACACCAAUUUCUAUUUGUUGCAGAAACUACACCAGUGUGAGUCCAAGAUAUUCACCUUACAAAAUGAAAUUGACUGCAUGAAGCCCAAACUUGCCGAAAAAUCUCAACUGAAGUCAGAAAUAGAGAGGCUAAUAAAAGAACUUGUGAUAAUGGGUGAACUGAAUCAGCACCAUAAGGAUAUGAUGGAGAAGGCGGCUGUUGAUAAGGGAAAGAAACCUGAAGCUAGCUUGCAGUUUUAUGCUUGUCAAAAAGAGUUAACAGCCUCUAAGCAAAUGGUAAGGAAACAGAAAACUGAAAUAGAAGCCUUGCAUUCAAAGGUUGCAGAACUGGAGAAACACUUAACAAAAAAGGAUGUUGAAAUGAAGGAGUUUAGAAAGUUUUCUGAGAGCUUGAAUGGAAUUUACUUGGCUAAACACAAGGCAUUAGAAGAAAAAUAUACUGCACAGAAAAAAAUCAACCAAACUCUAGAGGCUCGUAUACUUAAUUUACAACUUGCUCUAGAGGAUACAAAACAUGAAAACACGAUGCAGGCAGCAGCCAAGACUAAAACUAGAGCAACAAGUCCAAUUCAAGAGGAAACGUCUAGCGGUUAGGAACCAUCUCACGGCACUCCUACUGGCAACCUAAAAACUUAACAUUAAAGUAUAGUAAUAGCAUAGAAUGCGACCCCUUGGUGCUGAAGUUGUUGAUAGGCUCUUAUUAGGUUGUUGUAUAGAUGUUGUGUUUAAGGUGUCAGUAGGUUGAUAGUGGCAUGUUGGUAAUGUUUUGGUAGGGUAUCAGAAGCUGGUUGUUGGUAGGUCAUCGUUGGGGUGUUGGUGGUUGUGUUUAAGGUGUCAGUAGGUUGAUGGUGGCAUGUUGGUAGGGUAUCAGAAGCUGGUUGUUGGUAGGUGUCAGUAGGUUGAUGGUGGCAUGUUGGUAAGGUGUCCUAAGGGUGUCAUCAGGUUCUUAGUAGGUUGUUGGUAAGGUGUUUUUAGGGUGUCAACAGGUUGUCGGUAGGUGGUCUGUAGGAUAAAGAUAGGAUAUAAUGAUAAGCUAUUGGUCUAUACUUUACAGUAAUUUGGAGUCCAUUUCCUAACUAUUACUAUUGUUUAUUUUAGAUAUAUUUUUAUAUCUAAAGUAAUAUAUAUUCAUGGCUUAAAUUAAAGGGCUUGAUAGAGAUAGAAUACAGUAAAUAAGACAAAGUUGAAACCAUACUCAUUGAAAAUUUUAACUGACUUCAAAAAAACCUUUUUUUGCAAUAUCUUGAUAAGUAUUUUUGAAUUAUUGUUCAUGAAUUUAAAUCUCAUUGNAAUUCUAUUGCCCUUACAAGUUUGGAAAAACUGGCAAAAUAAGUUCAUGGUAUGCUGAUCAAAUUUGAGAGGGUUUAAAAGAAANUAAAAUNAAAUUGCUUCUAAUCUUU
rnacentral:misc_RNA from 1 species